CACAUGAGACGUACGUACAAAACAAGGAACCUUGUAUAAAGAAUGAAAUGAAUAUAAAAUAUAUAGGUUAGAACAAUUGAUUCCCAUGAAUUACUCUAUCAACUACAUCUUUAUGUAUAACCAAAUUUUGUGUGCAUCUCUGUGAACUACAUCUAGCACACAUUACUCAAUAUGCAUAACCUAAGUACUAAUCUAUUCAACUAGGCAACAGAGGCUCUGUAUG
rnacentral:misc_RNA from 1 species